GACAGAGGGUGCAAACGUUGUUCGGAAUUACUGGGCGUAAAGCGCAUGUAGGCGGUUCGUAAAGUCAGAUGUGAAAGCCCUGGGCUUAACCCAGGAAGUGCAUUUGAAACUCACGAACUUGAGUCCCGGAGAGGAAGGCGGAAUUCUCGGUGUAGAGGUGAAAUUCGUAGAUAUCGAGAGGAACAUCGGUGGCGAAGGCGGCCUUCUGGACGGU
rnacentral:rRNA from 1 species